AACGCAAAUUGCGCUCGAGGCUUCGGCCAAGAGCAUGUCUGCCUCAGCGUCGGGUUAAUACUCAUAUGCGCAUUCCCCGCCAGGAGUGUGUGUAUGGAGCUGACUGUCUCGGUGUAUGCCCUCUUCCGGGAGGUGUGUGAGCCGGGUCAGUUGAAGUGCAGAUGUCAAAGCAUGGACCGUUAAUCGGGCCUCUACUGGGUAGGCAACUCGUUUGCUGAAAUGCUUUAGUAGAUGGCUUGGGUACUGUCUUUGGCACAAAACAGGAGUACCUGUUCAUUCAGGUACAACCAAUACCAUUUUCUCGACCUGAGCUCAGGCAAGAUUACCCGCUGAACUUAA
rnacentral:misc_RNA from 1 species